GAUGAACGCUGGCGGCGUGCCUAAUACAUGCAAGUCGAGCGAACGGACGAGAAGCUUGCUUCUCUGAUGUUAGCGGCGGACGGGUGAGUAACACGUGGAUAACCUACCUAUAAGACUGGGAUAACUUCGGGAAACCGGAGCUAAUACCGGAUAAUAUUUUGAACCGCAUGGUUCAAAAGUGAAAGACGGUCUUGCUGUCACUUAUAGAUGGAUCCGCGCUGCAUUAGCUAGUUGGUAAGGUAACGGCUUACCAAGGCAACGAUGCAUAGCCGACCUGAGAGGGUGAUCGGCCACACUGGAACUGAGACACGGUCCAGACUCCUACGGGAGGCAGCGGUAGGGAAUCUUCCGCAAUGGGCGAAAGCCUGACGGAGCAACGCCGCGUGAGUGAUGAAGGUCUUCGGAUCGUAAAACUCUGUUAUUAGGGAAGAACACAUGUGUAAGUAACUGUGCACAUCUUGACGGUACCUAAUCAGAAAGCCACGGCUAACUACGUG
rnacentral:rRNA from 1 species